AGAGGUUACAAGAAUUCUGACACUCAUCACAGUGGAUCCAAUAUCUGGUCCCUUGGGUUUCAUAUAUGUUAGAAGUAUCUUCUCAGGAGGGAAAAGUCAAUGCCAGUCAUAUCCUUUCUAGCUAUUAGAAAUGUCCAUCAGCUUACGAGGAGAUUCUCCCUCAUCUCACAAACUACCUGCAUCUCCACUUCCCUGGAAGAAAAAAAAAAUCUGGACAUACCCAAGCUGUGUAUGUGCCUGAGAUCUUCCCUUCCAAGGUAAAGAGAGAGCCUGAGACAGGUCUAAAUUAGCAUCUGGACUUUCUGCUAGUAAAGAAAAGGAAAUAUGGGAAACUAAAUAGUAACAUUAAAGGACCCACAAAGGGACUACUGGUUGUUUGUUUUCUGGUCUUCCUGAAAACCAAGAUGCUGUGCGAAAAACCCUGGAUUGGGAACCAGAAGAGUUGAGUGCUCAUCCUGAUCCUUCCCAGGAGUGAUACUAAACUUGU
rnacentral:lncRNA from 10 species